rnacentral:pre_miRNA from 1 species
CCCACACCCAUGUGUGUGGGACCCCAAAGGAUCACCAUGAAAUUUGGCACUGAUCUCUAGAAAAGUUAUCACAUGGGUGUGAGACUUGAUACUUUUCUAGAAAACUGUGCCAAAUUUAAUGGUGAUCCUUUGGGGUCCUACACGCAUGGGUGUGGG